rnacentral:rRNA from 1 species
GCGAACGGGUGAAUAACACGUAAGAAUCUACCUUUGAGUGAAGAAUACCUUCGGGAAACCGGAGUUAAUACUGCAUAAUCCGGCUAUGAGAGAUUAUAUUCGGGAAAAGCGGCCUCUUGCUGUUGCUUAAAGAUGAGCUUGCGGACUAUUAGUUAGUUGGUGGGGUAAUAGCCUACCAAGACGAUGAUGGUUAGCCGGCCUGAGAGGGUGUACGGCCACAUUGGGACUGAGAUACGGCCCAGACUCCUACGGGAGGCAGCAGUGGGGAAUAUUGCACAAUGGACGAAAGUCUGAUGCAGCGACGCCGCGUGGGGGAUGAAGGUCUUCGGAUUGUAAACUCCUGUUAAGAGGGAAGAAAGACCCUGGAAUAAUAUACCAGGGGGAUGACGGUACUUCUAGAGAAAGCACCGGCUAACUUCGUGCCAGCAGCCGCGGUAAUACGAAGGGUGCAAGCGUUAUUCGGAAUAACUGGGCGUAAAGAGCGUGUAGGUGGCUUUGUAAGUCAGUUGUUAAAUACCACAGCUUAACUGUGGAACUGCGAUUGAAACUACAAGGCUAGAGGAUAAGAGAGAGAAGUGGAAUUCUCGGAGUAGCGGUAAAAUGCGUAGAUCUCGAGAGGAACACCGAUUGCGAAGGCAGCUUCUUGGCUUAUUCCUGACACUCAAACGCGAAAGCGUGGGGAGCAAACAGGAUUAGAUACCCUGGUAGUCCACGCCGUAA